GGAAGGGUCGGAUAAUGGUUAUUCCACUGGUCUUGAAAACCAGCGGGCGCUAAGCCCAUGUGGGUUCGAGUCCCACCCCUUCCG
rnacentral:tRNA from 1 species